AUGCUGUACACCAGGCCGGCCUCUCCUGCCGUACAAAUGUUCCUCAGCAGCACAUAGCACCUAUCGGGUCCAGGAGCCGGCUGUGCACAUCCCUGGACAGGAGCCCCUGACCGCGUCCAUGCUGGCUGCGGCACCCCUGCAUGAGCAAAAGCAGAUGAUUGAGGGUGUUCCACACAGGGGAGCGUCUCUACCCCCUUAUCCAUGAUGUCCACACCCAGCUGGCCGGCAAGAUCACGGGCAUGCUGCUGGAGAUUGACAACUCGGAGCUGUUGCUCAUGCUGGAGUCUCCAGAAUCACUCCAUGCCAAGAUAGACGAGGCAGUGGCCGUGCUGCAGGCACACCAGGCUAUGGAGCAGCCGAAGGCGUACGUGCACUGAAACCAGAAAAGGAAAUCCUUGCUUCCAUGGCUGCCAAAAGGACAGUGUUUCUGGCUCUCAGCCCU
rnacentral:sRNA from 1 species